ensembl:lncRNA
GCAAUGUACCUGAGUGAUGAAAGGGCUAGAGCCAGGAUCCACCCCUUCCCAGUCCUGAUUUAAGGGUUGGCAGUGGAGCUGAGGGUAUCUCUCUGGAGAUUCCUGUGUACCUGAGGUCUUCUAAAGUUUGCAGGGCAUAAUGUGGAGACAUCAUGUUUGUCCUUUGGUUGAAUGGUGCUGGCUAACAUGGCUGGGAAGAAGUAAUGUGAGAACUGCACACACAGGGGAGAACUGGAAAAUGGAAGUACUGAGUGAAUGAACAAUAAAAAGUCAUCCAUGUGGAAGGAGGGAAAGGAAGGCACCUUGGGCUUGGAAAUUCAGCUCUUAUGGAUUUAAGUCUUCAUUUUCAGCAAACAAAAUAUAACUGACUGUUCUCUCAACUCUGCGGAGGAGAUGGGAAGGUCUGCCAGACACUGCCGUGGCUGUUCUUCAAAAACACAAACAGGUUUGAUGACCAGCUUUCUGUUCAGCUUCUCUCUCAUGAGUGCCCCUCUCCCCCACCAUUGUGCCCCAACACUGGGGGACAAACCUGGGCUUGGCUGCCUUGUUGUUGUUCUGCUGCAGAAUUACCUGCUGCGAAGCUGGUGUUGAAGCCAUGGCCACAGCCACCUCCAGGAGCCAUGGGGAUAUGCAGGGCUGCUCCCAGUCUGGCUUAACGCUCAUGAGUGGCAUUGCCCUGAACCGAAGCCCACAUGGCACCGGAAGGCACUGGACAAAGGGGAAUCAAUCAGACACGCCGAUGGCAGAAGUAGAAAGGCUUGGGAAAUGCACUCUGAUCAUUUAUGAGCGGUUCUUGUAACUGUCAUGUAAUUGCAUGUAAUCAGACAUCAUUGUGUGCUAAUGAGCAGCUGUGCCACAUUAAACCCUGGCAGAGCUCCUGCUCUGUGCACUAUGGGUGGCUUUGCUGCCUUGCUGGGCACUCCCAAGGGCUUUGGCAGGCCCCAGGUUGCUCCUUGCCUGCUUUUGCCACAUGGCACAUACACCAGCAAGGCAACUGCAGGCUGUCCUCCUCCCUGUGCCCAUGUUCAUUCACAGUGCCUCCUGCACUGCUUUGCUGGUGCAGAUGCAGUCAGUGAGGCACACUGGACCGCAGGCGGGUGUUCCUUAUGCCACGAGCAAGCUACAUUCAUACAAGAACCUAUGAAGCAUGAGAGUUUGGGCAAGUAUAAUAGCUUUAAUUAAAACAGAAAACCAUAUCCUUCAUUCUAAUAAUUAUUUUAAAGAGCAGACCAAGUGCAGGGGCAUGAACAGACUUAACAAGUGCUGUAAUUAUGGAUCUGGAAGAACAACCGCUCCUCCGCCAGGCUGCAGAGUGCAGCUCUUUGGGCAGCGUUUGGGGGCCGCCUGCUGCCCUCCCAUCCCCACAGUUGGGGACACAGGAGCUCCAGACAGCACUGCACCCAGCCCUGCACAGCCCCAAGGAAAACUCACCAAGCACCUCCAACUCUGGGAUUUAUUUGUCUACAUGUACACAGCAUCCAACAGCACCACAUCUGGGUGGAAUGUGGGGAACAAACACCCCGUAUUAAACAAAAACUUAAGAGCUUCAGCUACUGUUUCAUUUGAAUACAGACAACAUUUCCCCCUCCCCCCCUCCUAAAAACAAAAAAACAAAAAACCAACACACAAUGGAAACAACUAACCUUCAGAAUUAUAAUGCUAAUGACAUAGGAUUUACAAAAAUAUAAAUAACCCAUUCACAACCUUGAAGAAAUAACAUCUACCAUAAAAAUUACCAAGUAUUCCUAGAGGUAAACCAUGGCUAUAGAACGAUACUUAUUUUCAGAAAAGCACCAGAAUCUGCAACAUUAAGUCAUCUAAACAAACUGUAGUGCAUCUCUCCUUAGCACUUGCAGACUUCUGAACGCGUGCUCAGACUGAUCAAACAGCUUUCUGCAGUAUUGCCUGCUCACGGGACAGCACAGCGAAGGUACAAUUCUUAUACACACCCCGUUCAGGAAUAGCACACAAGGAUGUACUGAUUAUUUGUUCACUUUAAUAGGAUUUGUGUACAUGCCUAUCUUUAAGUGUGUGCUUAGGAGCUUUCAGAACAGCACUGGACUGAAACCCGUCGCGUAAAUUCUUCUGUAGGUCAGACUUCCAGACAAGACUGUUGUCACAACAAUUGCUUGUUGCAGAAAUCCCACUGCCCAAGAGUGUUUCCAUUGUUCAGUCCCAACUAAAGUUUGCACAGAUG